AUGCUCGUGAACUUUGCUUUUAAAUCAUUUCCCGGCCGAGCCGCGGCAGAGUGCGGAGCCAGCGUUUUGGCAUCACCCCUCCACGCACUUGAGGAAAGUUUGUGCAACCCUCCCGGCAGGGCAGGAGCUCCGAUGGGCGUCGUGCGCGCCCUGUCCUGCGGCGCUGGCGGGAGCACUGUCUGGUCCGGCACGGAGCGAAGACGGAGCGUGGCUUUUCGGCUGCCGCAGCAGCAGGCGGGAGGGGGGCGAGCGGGGUGUCCCAGGCCCCGACAGCCGCAUCACGCUGGGCUCCCCAGCACCAAGAAGCGCUGGCCCUGUGGCCAGGCCCAGGGAAGCUC
rnacentral:lncRNA from 1 species